rnacentral:rRNA from 1 species
AGAGUUUGAUCCUGGCUCAGGAUAAACGCUGGCGGCGUGCCUAAUACAUGCAAGUCGAGCGAACGGACGAGAAGCUUGCUUCUCUGAUGUUAGCGGCGGACGGGUGAGUAACACGUGGAUAACCUACCUAUAAGACUGGGAUAACUUCGGGAAACCGGAGCUAAUACCGGAUAAUAUUUUGAACCGCAUGGUUCAAAAGUGAAAGACGGUCUUGCUGUCACUUAUAGAUGGAUCCGCGCUGCAUUAGCUAGUUGGUAAGGUAACGGCUUACCAAGGCAACGAUGCAUAGCCGACCUGAGAGGGUGAUCGGCCACACUGGAACUGAGACACGGUCCAGACUCCUACGGGAGGCAGCAGUAGGGAAUCUUCCGCAAUGGGCGAAAGCCUGACGGAGCAACGCCGCGUGAGUGAUGAAGGUCUUCGGAUCGUAAAACUCUGUUAUUAGGGAAGAACAUAUGUGUAAGUAACUGUGCACAUCUUGACGGUACCUAAUCAGAAAGCCACGGCUAACUACGUGCCAGCAGCCGCGGUAAUACGUAGGUGGCAAGCGUUAUCCGGAAUUAUUGGGCGUAAAGCGCGCGUAGGCGGUUUUUUAAGUCUGAUGUGAAAGCCCACGGCUCAACCGUGGAGGGUCAUUGGAAACUGGAAAACUUGAGUGCAGAAGAGGAAAGUGGAAUUCCAUGUGUAGCGGUGAAAUGCGCAGAGAUAUGGAGGAACACCAGUGGCGAAGGCGACUUUCUGGUCUGUAACUGACGCUGAUGUGCGAAAGCGUGGGGAUCAAACAGGAUUAGAUACCCUGGUAGUCCACGCCGUAAACGAUGAGUGCUAAGUGUUAGGGGGUUUCCGCCCCUUAGUGCUGCAGCUAACGCAUUAAGCACUCCGCCUGGGGAGUACGACCGCAAGGUUGAAACUCAAAGGAAUUGACGGGGACCCGCACAAGCGGUGGAGCAUGUGGUUUAAUUCGAAGCAACGCGAAGAACCUUACCAAAUCUUGACAUCCUUUGACAACUCUAGAGAUAGAGCCUUCCCCUUCGGGGGACAAAGUGACAGGUGGUGCAUGGUUGUCGUCAGCUCGUGUCGUGAGAUGUUGGGUUAAGUCCCGCAACGAGCGCAACCCUUAAGCUUAGU